rnacentral:tRNA from 1 species
GGAGAGAUGGCUCAGAGGUUAAGAGCACUGGCAGAGGACCUGGGUUCAAUUCCCAGAGUCCA